rnacentral:rRNA from 1 species
AUUGAACGCUGGCGGCAGGCCUAACACAUGCAAUUCGAGCGGAGCGGCGGACGGGAGAGUAAUGCCUAUGCAUCUGCCUGUUAGUGGGGGAUAACGUCCGGAAACGGGCGCUAAUACCGCAUACUAUCACAUGAGUCUAGGUCGGAUUAGCUAGUUGGUGGGGUAAAGUCCUACCAAGGCCACGCACCGGAACUGGUCUGAGAGGAAGAUCAGUUAAGCUGGAACUGAGACACGGUCCAGACUCCUACGGGAGGCAGCAGUGGGGAAUGUUAGACAAUGGGCGAAGUCCUGAUCCAGACCUACCGCGUGUGUGAAGAAGGUCUUCGGAUUUUAAAGCACUUGAAGAGGGGAGGCGUUACCAACAGAAUAAGCAACGGCUAACUUCGUGCAAGCAGCCGCGGUAAUAC